GAUGAACGCUGGCGGCGUGCCUAAUACAUGCAAGUCGAGCGAACGGACGAGAAGCUUGCUUCUCUGAUGUUAGCGGCGGACGGGUGAGUAACACGUGGAUAACCUACCUAUAAGACUGGGAUAACUUCGGGAAACCGGAGCUAAUACCGGAUAAUAUUUUGAACCGCAUGGUUCAAAGGUGAAAGACGGUCUUGCUGUCACUUAUAGGUGGAUCCGCGCUGCAUUAGCUAGUUGGUAAGGUAACGGCUUACCAAGGCAACGAUGCAUAGCCGACCUGAGAGGGUGAUCGGCCACACUGGAACUGAGACACGGUCCAGACUCCUACGGGAGGCAGCAGUAGGGAAUCUUCCGCAAUGGGCGAAAGCCUGACGGAGCAACGCCGAGUGAGUGAUGAAGGUCUUCGGAUCGUAAAACUCUGUUAUUAGGGAAGAACAUAUGUGUAAGUAACUGUGCACAUCUUGACGGUACCUAAUCAGAAAGCCACGGCUAACUACGUG
rnacentral:rRNA from 1 species